AUUUUAAUUAUGCAUUUUGCCCCAUUAAUGUUUGUCUAAUUAAAAUAUCUCCACUGCAAAGCCACUAUUCUUUACAGCUGCAUCUCUCUUUUUUUUCUGUGUUCCUGUGAGAAUGUCUGAUAACCCAUUGCAGCCUCUCUUUCUUACCUUUCAAAAAGUAUCAAAUUGCAUCCAGACCCAUUUCUCCAGUUUCAUAAGCCAAUCCAAUCACCACCCAUCGCUUGCUAAUAAAAAGCCUCUCUUUUCGAUUUCAUCGUCUAAUAUAAUCACAUCUGAUAUUGACACUGCCCUUAUUCAACAACCUAAAUAUAUUCUCAAUAAGGGAACAUCUGCUGCACCAGUGACUAAAGAGGAGCUUGGAAGAGCUACUUGGACUUUCCUUCACACACUUGCUGCCCAGUAUCCAGAAAACCCAACCAGACAACAGAAGAAGGAUGUGAAACAAUUGAUGGCAAUACUAUCUCGAAUGUACCCUUGCAAGGAAUGUGCAGACCACUUUAGAGAAGUUCUGAGAGUAAAUCCUGUGCAAGCUGGAUCACAUACUGAGUUCUCACAAUGGUUAUGCCACGUGCAUAAUGUAGUUAACAGAAGGUAAGUCUGCAUUUUCCUGGUGAUACAUGGCAAUGCUUCUGGGAUUUGGACGCUCAUUUGUGUGAUAGUCUAAAGUAGAGAACAACUAAGUGAUUGUUUAAAGCCUUGGCAAAUUGGUAUUUCCCUGUGAGCGGGUUGAUGCUAGGUGGGGCAAGCUAGAGUGUGAGCAAAGAGCAUGUGAUCUGCAAGGAACUGCAUCGAAUUUUGGAGAUUAACAUAUUUAUGCACUGAAACUAAGAAAAUUCUACUAUUACUGUUAAAUACUGGUUUAUUUAUACCAAUACAGGAAUACUAUUGAGUUACCGAAUCAA